AUGAGGCUCCUCACGCACAACUUCUUGGCGUCGAACGUGAAGGGCGUGAGCACGGGCUACCCGCUCGCGCUGGAGGUCGCCAAGACGUCCAUCAAGGAGGUGGAGCUCAACGUCGACUUCCUCCGCGGGAUCCUUCCCAAGAUCGACUGGAGAGCGCUCUUCGCAGCCACCAGCGCCGCGGGGUUCCCGGAGCUCCUCGCCGCGGAGCAGCCGCCCGAGGCCGAGCUCUUCGCCGAGGGCGCCGCGGAGGUCGAGGGCAGCGCUAUCCGCCGCCUCCACCACGCGCUCCUCGAGAUCCACGUCGAGGAGGGCACCCUCGUCUGCCCCGACAGCGGCCGCUCCUUCCCCAUCCUGAAGGGCGUCCCCAAUAUGCUUCUCCAUGAGGACGAGGUGCGGCACUGA
rnacentral:rRNA from 1 species